UUAGACCUCAUUUAAGACCUGGCUACCACUGGGGUAGGUUCUCUUGCUGGAAAUUUUUUUCUUUGUGAAGGUUUUCCUAUGAGCCUGGAUUUUCUGAGGGAGCUGUGGAACUUCUAAUGCAUACCAAAAUACCUCGGAGGACAUGAGUUUUCUCCAGAAUUGCCCGGUUUCUGAAUAGGGCAACUGAGCUACGUUCGAAAAAGAUCUGAAGGUGGUCUGACAAUAAGUAAUGAACUAAGAAGACUUCAGAGGAGAAGACAAAAUCUACUACUCAUCAGCAGGAAGAUAUGGUUGGUGCAAAGGCUACUGAAGAACAUAAGCUGUCAGGAGCAGCUGACUAGUCUGCACAUCCAGCUCAACAUUACUCUGUGAGAUAAAUGCAGGACAGGUGCCUCUUUACACAAAUACACUCAAUCUAUAAGGUGAAUGGGCAACCUGUGACCUGUGUCAAAGAGAAGAUGAUGGCUCUCUAUGACAGCUAUGAACAUACUAGGCGGCAUACUACAUAGGAACACAGCACAUCUUCCUGCUACAUUACUUCCAAAACAAGCACAGUGAAUGAUUAAAGACCAGGAGGAGGUCCCAGCUGACAGGGAUUGCGCUCAGGGUUUGCAGAGAUUCUUGCCCUUUGUGCUCCCUGGUUCACUGCAAAGCUUCUGAACAAAUAAUUUGUUUUUACAAAUUUAUAACCUAUCUCAUGUAAAUUGUAUUUUUGUCUUUUGACAUUUAAAUUCCAUUUUCUUUCUAUUGUAUGUAACAUUGUAGUCUAUCACUGAGUUCUAACAAAGAUUGGGGAAGGUUACUAAGUAGACUUAAGUUUCCAGAAGGAUGAAAUCCCCUGUUCCUUAUCCUUCUGUCAUCAGUUUUUCUGCUGCUGUCAUCCUGCACUUUGAGAAUCUAAGAAAAAUCUCUCACAUCUUGAAAUCAGAACCUCAAGUGCUUUGUCCCUUUGUCAGAAACCACCUUUAGAUUGUAUUAAGGGGAAUAAUGGUGUUACCUCAAAGUUGCUUAACAUCCUCUCUGAAACACAAAACCCUCCUGGAUUGUUUAAUACUAGGAGAUAUCUUGAAUUGUGCAGAUUUAAAUGAGAGAUUCAUUGAAUAAUCCCACCGAACUCGUUGGAAUGUUUUUGACAUUGUAGCAUAUUAAUGUUCCCUUGUGUGAUUGCCUUUCCACGUACUGCAUGUUUCUUUAAAUACAUACAUGAAAAUGAUCCAAA